AACAAUUCUGUGAUUCUCCUGAAGACGUUGCUGGACCUGGGGGCCUCCCCAGACUACAAGGACAGCCGGGGGCUGACACCGCUGUACCACAGUGCCAUGGUGGGAGGGGAUCCCUACUGCUGCGAGCUGCUGCUGCACGACUACGCUCGGCUGGGCUGUGUGGAUGAGAACGGCUGGCAGGAGAUCCACCAGGCAUGUCGCUACGGCCACGUUCAGCACCUGGAGCAUCUUCUCUUCUACGGCGCUGACAUGACCGCGCAGAACGCCUCAGGAAACACCGCUCUUCACAUCUGUGCUCUCUAUAACCAGGAGAGCUGCGCCCGG